rnacentral:misc_RNA from 1 species
UUUCCGUAGGUGAACCUGCGGAAGGAUCAUUAUUGUAUAACCGAGGUGCGAGGGCUGUCGCUGACCCGAAAGGUCGUGCACGCCCGAGUGCCCUCACACACAUCCAUCUCACCCCUAUGUGCACCACCGCGUGGGUCCCCCUUUGGCUUGUUCGGAGGGGGGCUUACGUUUUCACACAAACUUUGUAUGCAGUGUAGAAUGUAUUUUUUGUUUUUGCGAUCACGCAAUCAAUACAACUUUCAACAACGGAUCUCUUGGCUCUUGCAUCGAUGAAAACGCAGC